rnacentral:rRNA from 1 species
UUAUAAGAGACAGCAGCCGCCGCGGGAAUACGGAGGGUGCAAGCGUUAAUCGGAAUUACUGGGCGUAAAGCGCACGCAGGCGGUCUGACAAGUCAGAUGUGAAAUCCCCGGGCUUAACCUGGGAACUGCAUUUGAAACUGUCAGGCUGGAGUCUUGUAGAGGGGGGUGGAAUUCCAGGUGUAGCGGUGAAAUGCGUAGAGAUCUGGAGGAAUACCGGUGGCGAAGGCGGCCCCCUGGACAAAGACUGACGCUCAGGUGCGAAAGCGUGGGGAGCAAACAGGAUUAGAUACCCGGGUAGUCCCUGUCUCUUAUAC